UUGCAGCGACCAUUUCCCUGCAGAGUGCUUCAAGGUGGAAUGGGGGAAAACACGUCUGCGUGUCGAUGCCAUACCGUCAAUCUUUGAAGACUACCCGACUCAUUUGAAGCCUAAAGACUACAGUCUCGUGUAUGGACUUCAGCACGAGAGAGAAAAGCUGCCAACGGCAAGGAAAGAACCGACCCAAGCCCCCGUCGAAGAUAUUGCUUCAGUGCACGGCUGUACCGGCAAAACAAACAUCAGCGAUAGAGCAUGCAUACAGUCUACCACCAGAAAUGGAUCUACCCUCGAAAGUAGCAGGAAGGCUAUAUAUUCCAAGCUUGAACAGGAAAACAGACAACUCCGGCAGGAAAAUCGACGAUCAUGUCGAAAAAGAUCUUAUCCGUCAAAGAGGUGGUAAAAGGCCUGUAAGAGGAGCAACUUGUUACUCCAGAGAUGGCCGACCAGAUGGAAACACAGUUUCCUAUUCUGCAAUUGGAAGUCACUUUGCUGGAGCUGGGAAAACUGCGCCUUGCUCAACGAAUCACAAUCAUAGUGAACAGAUGAAGAAGUUUGCACUGCUCGACAAAAGCGUACGUCUUCGUCAGAAAGAAGAUUGCACUGCCGACUGUGCGUAGUGAGGAGAUAGCUGGCCACGCAUGCAUGACUGGGCCUCGUGCGUGGACCAUAGCUAAAAUUUAACAAGUUUCGCUUAGUAUUUCGUUAUCGUCUUAUUGUUGCUCCUCAGAAAUUGAAAGAUUGAAUAGCCCUCUGUUUGCGUUCAUGCAUAUGAGGAAGAUAUAUUGGAUUACUUAUUCUGGUUCAUAAAUUUAUGGGAAGCAAUACUCACCUGCUGGUAGUUGCAUAGGCUAGACCUUUAUAUAAAUAUUCGGAUGGUGACAACCAAAUGUAUUUUUUUCAUGAGCAAUGAUAUUCUUGACACCUUGAUUAAUGGCUAUGGAUAUGGAACUGCCAUUUCAUCAGUGUAUUUAUUAGCUAACGAGUAAUUUUUCAUUGUAUAUAAAUUGUUUAUUACCUAAAAGUUAUUUAAGUAUUAGUUUGUUCAGUAUUCACAACAGAUGGCCAGAGACUUGUUUUUGUAGUCAUCCAUUCAUUUCAAAUGUAAUGUUCCUAUUGAUGUUAGCAGUAUUAAAGCAAAGCAAUAUUUCGAGUGCCCGUUUUUAUCGUUGCUCAUUUACAAAAUGAUUUUCUGUUAUUUCAUUUUGAUGUUGGUAAAAUUAAAAGUUUAUGUUUUGUCUGA